AGUAACCUGCCCUUGACUCUGGGAUAAGCGCUGGAAACGGCGUCUAAUACCGGAUACGACCUGCCCCGGCAUCGGGUGCGGGUGGAAAGUUUUUCGGUCAAGGAUGGACUCGCGGCCUAUCAGCUUGUUGGUGAGGUAAUGGCUCACCAAGGCGACGACGGGUAGCCGGCCUGAGAGGGUGACCGGCCACACUGGGACUGAGACACGGCCCAGACUCCUACGGGAGGCAGCAGUGGGGAAUAUUGCACAAUGGGCGAAAGCCUGAUGCAGCAACGCCGCGUGGGGGAUGACGGCCUUCGGGUUGUAAACCUCUUUUAGUAGGGAAGAAGGGCUUCGGCUUGACGGUACCUGCAGAAAAAGCACCGGCUAACUACGUGCCAGCAGCCGCGGUAAUACGUAGGGUGCAAGCGUUGUCCGGAAUUAUUGGGCGUAAAGAGCUCGUAGGCGGUUUGUCGCGUCUGCUGUGAAAACCCGAGGCUCAACCUCGGGCCUGCAGUGGGUACGGGCAGACUAGAGUGCGGUAGGGGAGAAUGGAAUUCCUGGUGUAGCGGUGGAAUGCGCAGAUAUCAGGAGGAACACCGAUGGCGAAGGCAGUUCUCUGGGCCGUUACUGACGCUGAGGAGCGAAAGCGUGGGGAGCGAACAGGAUUAGAUACCCUGGUAGUCCACGCCGUAAACGUUGGGAACUAGAUGUGGGGACCUUUCCACGGUCUCCGUGUCGCAGCUAACGCAUUAAGUUCCCCGCCUGGGGAGUACGGCCGCAAGGCUAAAACUCAAAGGAAUUGACGGGGGCCCGCACAAGCGGCGGAGCAUGCGGAUUAAUUCGAUGCAACGCGAAGAACCUUACCAAGGCUUGACAUAUACCGGAAACGUCCAGAAAUGGUCGCCCCGCAAGGUCGGUAUACAGGUGGUGCAUGGUUGUCGUCAGCUCGUGUCGUGAGAUGUUGGGUUAAGUCCCGCAACGAGCGCAACCCUCGUUCUAUGUUGCCAGCACGUUAUGGUGGGAACUCAUAGGAGACUGCCGGGGUCAACUCGGAGGAAGGUGGGGAUGACGUCAAAUCAUCAUGCCCCUUAUGUCUUGGGCUUCACGCAUGCUACAAUGGCCGGUACAAAGGGCUGCGAUACCGUAAGGUGGAGCGAAUCCCAAAAAGCCGGUCUCAGUUCGGAUUGAGGUCUGCAACUCGACCUCAUGAAGUCGGAGUCGCUAGUAAUCGCAGAUCAGCAACGCUGCGGUGAAUACGUUCCCGGGCCUUGUACACACCGCCCGUCAAGUCAUGAAAGUCGGUAACACCCGAAGCCAGUGGCCUAACCGCAAGGAGGGAGCUGUCGAAGGUGGGAUCGGUGAUUAGGACUAAGUCGUAACAAGGUAGCCGUACCGGAAGGUGCGGCUGGAUCACCUCCUUUCUAAGGA
rnacentral:rRNA from 1 species